rnacentral:tRNA from 1 species
GCCCAAGUGCUGAAAUUGGUAGACAGGCCAUCUUGAGGGGGUGGUGUACUACGUGCGUGCUGGUUCGAGUCCAGUCUUGGGCA